GAGGCGCUUAUAGCUGGAGGCUUGUUCUGAUGGUGCUUCAGCACCAGAUGAUGAGUAAGAACAUCAGCAGUAACAUCCAAGGCACUGAAUCCUCCAAGUUGAUAGAAGAAAAUAAACCAAGUACAGAGAAGGACACAGAAAACACGGACAAGGAUACUAAGAGCACUGGCACUGACACCUUCCACUCAGACAAGGACACUGCAAGUUUCCAUCAAAAUGGAGGGAGGGAAAAGAAGGACAUUGGCUCUAUUACACAAGAUGGCAGGCGGGAGACGGACAGCGAUUCCCAAGAUGGUGGGAGGGCGCGAAGAAGAGGAUUGCGGCGAUCUCGAAAUGGCGUCGAGGAGGCGGGGCCCCGGGUUUCGCGGGAAAAAUCGACGCGGGAAAAGCGGAGGCGGGCUCUUGUAGUUCCACCCACAGCGCCGCCUCUGCCCCCGUAUACGCGCGCGUGGAGCCCCUCCCCAGACACGCCUUCUUCUACACCCACUUCCGCCCCUCCAGUCUCCUCCCCAGAGCCAUCUCCCUCCCGGAAACCAGGGGGUGCAGUGGGCGGGGCAAGGGCGAAGGCCCAGGUCAACAUCCGCCAAGAUGGCUGCGCCCAUAAGGCCCAGGCCACCGAGGCCUACCCCGCCUGCCGGCACCCUCACUCCGAUUGUCACUGGGUGCCAUACUCCCCGGAGGAGCCAUCUGCCACUCCGGAUAUCUGGAGAGCCUGCCGGGAAGAGGCGGCAUGCGCCAAAGACACGGAGUUUUUACGGGCUUUUCCUGUAUACUAUGACGACGGUAAAGCACCCGAAUGGCGUCCAGUUUCGUACCCCAUGCUGAAAGAUAUGAAGAAGGCUAUUGUGGAGUACGGGUUGGGCGCCCCCUUUACCCUCGGGCUGCUUGAAUCCUUUUUCUUGGCCUACACAUUAAUUCCAUUUGACAUAAGGGCAGUGAUGGGAGGACUGUUAACAACCGUACAGGCCUCAGUUUUUGAGGCGGAGUGGAGAAAGCGAGUAGUGACCUUUGUGAACGACCAAAUGGAGAGGCGAGGUAUCCCCCUACGGCAAGCCAUAGACAUGCUUUAUGGUGUGGGAGAUUACGCUCGUAGAGGGGAUCAAGCACGAUUGGAUCCUAAAUUGCUAAACACAUCUAAAGAAUUGGCAUUAGAGGCCAUAAAGAAGGUGGCCGAUGCUUACGUGCCGACCCCCUCCUUUACAAUGAUUAAUCAGGGCCUGAAAGAACAGUUUACAGAUUUCAUAACUCGGCUGAAAGAGGCGAUUGCCAGGCAAGUUCCUCAAAAAGAAUGCCAAGAAAUUUUAUUUAAUAAAUUGGUCAUCGAAAAGG
rnacentral:lncRNA from 1 species